GGACCCCAGGAAAGGUAUCCAGAACCAUGGAGUCCCACUGCUGUCUGCUCCUCGCCCAGCGUAGAGAUGGAGCUGAACUGUGAACCCAGGCCGAGGAAGCCAGCUCGGGCAGGGCCAGCAUGGGCAUCUCCUGAGACCCCACCGGAAGCCCUGGACACCGUCCAUUCUCAUGACACGGGACUGAGGGAGCAGGAGGGGGUGACAACAGAAAAGGGGGAUCCCUGAAGCACUUGGGAAGGAUGCCCCACCCAGGCACCAUUAGACCUCGAGCCUUCCCCCACCAAGAAAGGCUGUUCCAUGGUCUCUAGACAAGAAACUGAGGCCAAAGAACGGAAAUGACCUGCCCGAGGUCACACAGCGGGUCAGUGACAGAGCCAGGCUGGCACUGAAACGCGCUGGUUGGAGCCCAUGCCCAGGGCUGAUUCUCUGGGAAGGCAGCUGAGGCAGCAGGCUUCAUCCACUAGAGCCCUGUGCCAUGGGCCAGCCCCAUUCACUGCCAGGUCUCUCCACUCCUCAAUGGGCUGGCCGAGGUCCACUGUGUUCAUAGGCACCUUUACCUCUCCAAUGAUGUCAUGUUUGGAGAAGCGGUCAAAGUCAUAGAUGGCCAUCACCAGAGUUUUGCCCCCAAGCUCCUGGUAUGGCACCUGCAGGGCACAAGCAGAAUCAGAGGGGGCCAGAGCGACUCACGCACCUCCAGGGGUGCUAUGUGCAGGGGCCUGCAUUCCAGCCCACAGGGUCCAGCAUUUCUUGCAGAUGCAGAAGCAGCAGGUGAGAAGCAGGAGCCCAGCAACCACAGCAAUGGCGAUCAGUGCCCAGGGUGGUACUGCCCACACAAAGAAGAUCCCAGGGUCAGCAGUGCCAUGCCUUGCAGCCCCUGACCCCGUAGCAUUGGGAAAAAUGGGUGAGGAAUAUGACUGCCAUCCCACAAUGCCCACACCCCACAUUUUAAAAGCCACACACCCAUGAGUGAUUUGUAUGUAAGGUGCAUAUACUUUGCAUGCCUUUUCAAUCACGCCUUGCUUUUUUUUUUUUUUUUUUUUUUUUUGCCUACUGUCCUUGUUGGUAUAGCCUGCUAGCUGAGAGGUAGCAACCAGGUGUAUGCAUGGAAGAAUAUCAGUUUAGCUCUAUUGAGUUUUACUAGUGUGAUCUAUGGAGGACUGGCUCACUCUAGAGAGGAUGGGAUGAUGCUUAUCAGUCCUUUGGCCUCUGCCCCUUGUUCCAAGUCUUGAGAGGGCUGAUGCAUAGCCAGAUAGGCAGGCCAAGCUCCUUGAGUCUAGACCUAGACCGCUGCUGGGCUUUGCAAAACCCAACUGGGGAUGGGUCCUGGGCUGCUCUCUGUGGUUCUGAAGCACCAUCUCCCGCCAGUGUGGCUGCUCCCCCUUAAUCUGCAUCUCUGGUGUCUCCUAUACAGCCUCUGCCAGAAAUUCAAAAGCAGAGAGGGCUUUUAUUUUCUAUCUUCCAAAAUAAAUUUCAAAGUAUUAUUGGCAAACUUGAA